GGCCAGAUAGCACAGUGGUGAGACCAUCUUGGGAUUCACUGGAAGGUCCUGUGUUCAAUUCCCACUUUGGGCA